UACGAAGGGUGCAAACGUUGCUCGGAAUUAUUGGGCGUAAAGCGCACGUAGGUGGCUUGUUAAGUCGGGUGUGAAAUCCCUGGGCUCAACCCAGGAAGUGCACUCGAAACUGGCGAGCUUGAGUACUGAAGAGGGUCGCGGAAUUCCCGGUGUAGAGGUGAAAUUCGUAGAUAUCGGGAGGAACACCAGUGGCGAAGGCGGCGACCUGGGCAGAUACUGACACUGAGGUGCGAAAGCGUGGGGAGCAAACAGG
rnacentral:rRNA from 1 species